UAAUCCAGAAUGGCCUUGCACUGGCAUUGGCCAGCUUGCUCAGCACUCAUGGGCAGCAUCCCACCUACCAGKGCCCAUGGACUUKUAURUGUCCUGUUUGUUUAAAUGCUGCCUAGCCUGAUCCUCCUCUACCAAGGGUCCCUGCCCCAUUCAGCAGUGGGCCCACAUUUUUCUUUCACUGCUGAUAGACCUAUAGAAGCCCUUCUUGCUGCCCUCCACAUCCCUUGCCAGAUUCAACUCCAGACUUGUUCUUGCUCAGUGAAAAAAGACUAAGCGGCUGCAAAUGAGAUCUCUCUGAGACCAAUGCCCCAAAGUCCCGCUCUCGCCUGUCCGCGGCAGGGGGUCGCCCCGCAGCCCCCGGCCCGCCCGCUGCGGGG
rnacentral:lncRNA from 1 species